rnacentral:rRNA from 1 species
UACGAGAGGCCCAAACGUUAUUCGGAAUUACUGGGCUUAAAGAGUUCGUAGGCGGCUUGAUAAGUAGGGUGUGAAAGCCCUCGGCUCAACCGAGGAAUUGCGCUCUAAACUGUCGUGCUCGAGGAAUCUAGAGGUGAGCGGAACUGAUGGUGGAGCGGUGAAAUGCGUUGAUAUCAUCAGGAACACCGGAGGCGAAGGCGGCUCACUGGGGAUUUUCUGACGCUGAGGAGCGAAAGCCAGGGGAGCGAACGGG